rnacentral:rRNA from 1 species
UACGUAGGGUGCAAGCGUUGUCCGGAAUUACUGGGCGUAAAGCGCGCGCAGGCGGUUCUUCAAGUCAGAGGUGAAAGCCCAGAGCUCAACCCUGGAAUGGCCUUUGAGACUAGAGAACUAGGGUACGGGAGAGGUGAGUGGAAUUCCGAGUGUAGAGGUGAAAUUCGUAGAUAUUCGGAAGAACACCAGUGGCGAAGGCGGCUCACUGGCCCGUUACCGACGCUCAGGCGCGACAGCGUGGGGAGCAAACAGG